rnacentral:misc_RNA from 1 species
CCCGAAGUCGGUGGGGUAACCUUUUUGGAGCCAGCCGCCUAAGGUGGGACAGAUGAUUGGGGUGAAGUCGUAACAAGGUAGCCGUAUCGGAAGGUGCGGCUGGAUCACCUCCUUUCUAUGGAGAAUUGAUGAACGCUGUUCAUCAAUAUAAGUUUCCGUGUUUCGUUUUGUUCAGUUUUGAGAGAACUAUCUCUCAUAUAUAAAUGUAUGUUCUUUGAAAACUAGAUAACAGUGUAGCUCAUAUUUUUUUAAUUUUAGUUUGGUUAAGUUAGAAAGGGCGCACGGUGGAUGCCUUGACACUAGGAGUCGAUGAAGGACGGGACUAAC